rnacentral:lncRNA from 1 species
CCGGUCUCUCACAAAGGCUACCUUGGCAACUGCUCAGAAUGUAAAGUCCCUCAGCCCCUGCAACCUCAAGGUAGCCAUCCAUUCUCCCUAUCUCCCUGAUGUGCCGCCUCACUGCUCACUGGCACCACCGUUUCUAGCUCUUCUCUGUGAGAAAUUCCGCAACAGGAACUGACAAACGGCCAACCAGUAACCAGCUCAACUUGAAACCCAUCCCAUGGACAAGCACCAAUGCAUGACAUCGUUAUCGAUACUCUGUUAUGCUUGUAAACAGGAAGCUAGCAUAACUGUCCUCUAGCGGGCUCUACCUGUUGCCUGUGCUCUGGACUACUUGCUACCUGACGCCACGUGCCCUUGGGUGCUGGGGCUGAGAUGGCACAGAGUCAACGACACAGACUCUGGGAACAGGUUUUUUUAAAAACAUGAUCUUCAAAAUAUGACCCAGUGAUAUGAAUGUAAG